ensembl:lncRNA
AUGUGACAUCAGUGGUUCGACCGUAAACGAAGCUACGAGAAUACUAAUACAUUUCUGUACCUUGACAGUGGUAGUACCCUUGCUGUCUGUGCAGGGUCAGAGAGCUCUCGGAUUUCAUCAAAAAUAUCUUAAUUUGUGUUCUGAAGAUGAACAAGGGUCUUACGGGUUUGGAACGACAUGAGGCAUUCGAGUGGAAGCGGAGGCCGGGUGCCAUGCAGUUUAUUUUCCAGCAUUGAGAGAAAGUCAAAGUGGAUUGCGAUGACUUGCAGCAGAGUGGUGAAGGAGCCCUCUGUUUCUCAACAGUCAGACCACAAAGCCCAGCAAUAUCCCUGUGGCAAGUCACAAGGGAACAUGUAUGGAAGGUUCAGAGGAAAACUGAAUACAGGUCACUUUCCCUCAGUGUAUGAGAUUAAGCGUGGGGCCUCCCUCUCCUCUCUAUCUGGCACUUUUUUGGCUCUAGCUACCAUGCACCUUUGAUCUCCCUCUCAAUGGACUGCAGACUGCUGCCAACAGAGGGGCAUGGUAGGCUAUUAUAAUCAAAUCUAAUCUAUCCCCGUCUAACAGCAGAGAUGGAGUGAUAUAUUUAGACUGUGAACAUAAGUAGUGAAUUUGUACUGUGGGGUAUGAGGAAGAACUAAGGAGCUAAUCAAGCGUUAGAUGUUUUGGCAGAGCUUCACCAGUGAGAAGAUUCAGUGAAAUAUUGCUCACUCAUUUGAAAAUGAUUAAGUGGAUUCUUAUGGUUGGUGUGGAGAUGGAAAAAGAAGGGGAAAAUCCUGCUUCCGUUCCGUCCAAAAAAAAAAAAAAUACAAUUAAAAAAUAUUUUGUGGUCAG